rnacentral:rRNA from 1 species
AGAGUUUGGAUCCUGGCUCAGGACGAACGCUGGCGGCGUGCCUAACACAUGCAAGUCGAACGGAGAAUUUCAAGAAGUUUACUUUGAGAAAUUUUUAGUGGCGGACGGGUGAGUAACGCGUGGGUAACCUACCCAUAAAGCCGGGACAACCCUUGGAAACGAGGGCUAAUACCGGAUAAUCUUAACUCAUGGCAUCAAGAGUUAAGGAAAGGUGGCCUCUGAAUAUGCUGCCGAUUAUGGAUGGACCCGCGUCUGAUUAGCUAGUUAGGUGGGGUAAAGGCCUACCAAGGCGACGAUCAGUAGCCGGCCUGAGAGGGUGAACGGCACACUGGGACUGAGACACGGCCCAGACUCCUACGGGAGGCAGCAGUGGGGAAUCUUCCGCAAUGGACGAAAGUCUGACGGAGCAACGCCGCGUGUAUGAUGAAGGUCUUCGGAUUGUAAAGUACUGUCUUUGGGGAAGAACGGUGUACUUUGGAAUAUAGAGUACAUAUGACGGUACCCAAGGAGGAAGCCCCGGCUAACUACGUGCCAGCAGCCGCGGUAAUACGUAGGGGGCAAGCGUUGUCCGGAAUUAUUGGGCGUAAAGGGCGCGUAGGCGGAUAGUUAAGUCCGGUGUGAAAGAUCAGGGCUCAACCUGAGAGUGCAUCGGAAACUGGUUAUCUUGAGGACAGGAGAGGAAAGUGGAAUUCCUAGUGUAGCGGUGAAAUGCGUAGCAUCUUANGGAGGAACACCAGUGGGGAAAGUGCGACUUUCUGGACUGUAACUUGACGCUGANGCGCNGAAAAGCGUGGGGAGCAACAG